AUUGAACGCUGGCGGCAGGCUUAACACAUGCAAGUCGAACGAUGAUUAUCUAGCUUGCUAGAUAUGAUUAGUGGCGGACGGGUGAGUAACAUUUAGGAAUCUGCCUAGUAGUGGGGGAUAGCUCGGGGAAACUCGAAUUAAUACCGCAUACGACCUACGGGUGAAAGGGGGCGCAAGCUCUUGCUAUUAGAUGAGCCUAAAUCAGAUUAGCUAGUUGGUGGGGUAAAGGCCCACCAAGGCGACGAUCUGUAACUGGUCUGAGAGGAUGAUCAGUCACACCGGAACUGAGACACGGUCCGGACUCCUACGGGAGGCAGCAGUGGGGAAUAUUGGACAAUGGGGGCAACCCUGAUCCAGCCAUGCCGCGUGUGUGAAGAAGGCCUUUUGGUUGUAAAGCACUUUAAGCAGGGAGGAGAGGCUAAUGGUUAAUACCCAUUAGAUUAGACGUUACCUGCAGAAUAAGCACCGGCCAACUCUGUGCCAGCAGCCGCGGUAAUACAGAGGGUGCGAGCGUUAAUCGGAAUUACUGGGCGUAAAGCGAGUGUAGGUGGCUCAUUAAGUCACAUGCGAAAUCCCCGGGCUUAACCUGGGAACUGCAUGUGAUACUGGUGGUGCUAGAAUAUGUGAGAGGGAAGUAGAAUUCCAGGUGUAGCGGUGAAAUGCGUAGAGAUCUGGAGGAAUACCGAUGGCGAAGGCAGCUUCCUGGCAUAAUAUUGACACUGAGAUUCGAAAGCGUGGGUAGCAAACAGGAUUAGAUACCCUGGUAGUCCACGCCGUAAACGAUGUCUACUAGCCGUCGGGGUCCUUGAGACUUUAGUGGCGCAGUUAACGCGAUAAGUAGACCGCCUGGGGAGUACGGCCGCAAGGUUAAAACUCAAAUGAAUUGACGGGGGCCCGCACAAGCGGUGGAGCAUGUGGUUUAAUUCGAUGCAACGCGAAGAACCUUACCUGGUCUUGACAUAGUGAGAAUCCUGCAGAGAUGCGGGAGUGCCUUCGGGAAUUCACAUACAGGUGCUGCAUGGCUGUCGUCAGCUCGUGUCGUGAGAUGUUGGGUUAAGUCCCGCAACGAGCGCAACCCUUUUCCUUAUUUGCCAGCGGGUUAAGCCGGGAACUUUAAGGAUACUGCCAGUGACAAACUGGAGGAAGGCGGGGACGACGUCAAGUCAUCAUGGCCCUUACGACCAGGGCUACACACGUGCUACAAUGGUAGGUACGGAGGGUUGCUACACAGCGAUGUGAUGCUAAUCUCAAAAAGCCUAUCGUAGUCCGGAUUGGAGUCUGCAACUCGACUCCAUGAAGUCGGAAUCGCUAGUAAUCGCAGAUCAGAAUGCUGCGGUGAAUACGUUUCCGGGCCU
rnacentral:rRNA from 1 species